rnacentral:rRNA from 1 species
CCUACGGGAGGCAGCAGUGAGGAAUAUUGGUCAAUGGGCGCGAGUCUGAACCAGCCAAGUAGCGUGAAGGAUGACUGCCCUAUGGGUUGUAAACUUCUUUUAUAAAGGAAUAAAGUGAGGCACGUGUGCCUUUUUGCAUGUACUUUAUGAAUAAGGAUCGGCUAACUCCGUGCCAGCAGCCGCGGUAAUACGGAGGAUCCGAGCGUUAUCCGGAUUUAUUGGGUUUAAAGGGAGCGUAGAUGGGUUGUUAAGUCAGUUGUGAAAGUUUGCGGCUCAACCGUAAAAUUGCAAUUGAUACUGGCAGCCUUGAGUACAGUUGAGGUAGGCGGAAUUCGUGGUGUAGCGGUGAAAUGCUUAGAUAUCACGAAGAACCCCGAUUGCGAAGGCAGCUUACUAAACUGCGACUGACAUUGAUGCUCGAAAGUGUGGGUAUCAAACAGGAUUAGAUACCCGUGUAGUC